CUGGAUGACUGAGAAUCUUCAUAGACAUCUUACCUCUCAUGUUUGAUACAAUCACGGUCAUCUGUUCUUUCCUGCUUACAUCGGGGUUACAAUCUGAAAUGAUAGAGAAGUAUUUAGCUGACCUCAGCAUCGUGAGAAUUUCCUGCUGAAUCUGGGAUGCCAGCAUUGCAAUGACUUCAUUUUGAAUAUCUUUGCCUAAAUGGUGAACGUGUGUUUCUUUAGAAGUCACUCUCCUAAUGUGUUCAGCCAUAACGCUGUCAAAAAGACCAAUCAUCUCCACUAGUUUCAGGAAAGUGCCAUUGUUAUGCUCAAAUAAUCUAUCUGUGCUACCACGGAAUGGCAGGUUUUGCAUAGCCAUUACUCUGAUGAGACUAAUCAACCGCUGCAACACAUUUUGCCAGUGUAUUGUUUCGGCAGCAAGUUUCCGCUGAUUUUGUGCAUCUAUGGUGUUUUGUGGGACCGAUCUUAUGUCCAACUCUUUCCAUUUAUGAAAACUUUGUUGUGGUGGCUGCCCGGCUGACGGUGAGUGUCCUGGUUUUUUCUCUUUUGUCUGCGAUUCUGUUUUUUCCCUGGUUUUCUCUGUACUCUGCCUGCCUCCCUGUGUCUCCUCCCCCAUGUGUGCUCCCUCUCUCUCUCUCUCCCUCCGCUCCUGAGCCCAGCCAAUGACCCGCACCUGCACCUCGUCAGCCACCUCCUCUGCCUGCCACACCUGCCAGCAAUCAGCCCCAUCUCCCACAGUAGGCUACUUCUACCCUGGUUCUCCACUCCGUUGCUGCUUGAUUGUCGUCGCUCCUUACCCGGUUCACUUACCCUCAUCCUGAGCCAAGUCAGCUGGGCUCGUUCACCUGCCCUCUCCCCUCGGACUUCCCCCACGGCGUCCUUCCAGUUCUCCCGUGCCUACUCUCUUCCUCGGCCCCUAGUGUUCCCUGGCUCUCCGGUCUCAGUCUCCUUGGUUCCCCGUGCCUGAUUUCCCUGGAAUCCACCUCUCCCUCAACUCCAGUCCCUCAACCCCAUUUUUCCCCAAAUAAAACCUGUUAAUCCCCAGA